rnacentral:rRNA from 1 species
AGAGUUUGAUCCUGGCUCAGGACGAACGCUGGCGGCGUGCCUAAUACAUGCAAGUCGAACGCACUGACAGAGAAACUUGUUUCUCUCGACGUGAGUGGCGCACGGGUGAGGAACACGUGGGAAACCUACCCUUCAGCGGGGGAUAACCGUCGGAAACGAUGGCUAAUACCGCAUAGGUCUUUUAACCGCCUGGUUGAAAGAGGAAAGACGGCUUCGGCUGUCACUGAAGGAUGGUCCCGCGGUGCAUUAGCUAGUUGGUAAGGUAACGGCUUACCAAGGCGAUGAUGCAUAGCCGACCUGAGAGGGUGAUCGGCCACAUUGGGACUGAGACACGGCCCAAACUCCUACGGGAGGCAGCAGUAGGGAAUCUUCCGCAAUGGACGCAAGCCUGACGGAGCAACGCCGCGUGUGUGAAGAAGGUCUUCGGAUCGUAAAGCACUGUUAUUAGAGAAGAACAACCGGUAGAGUAACUGUUACCGGCUUGACGGUAUCUAACCAGAAAGCCACGGCUAACUACGUGCCAGCAGCCGCGGUAAUACGUAGGUGGCAAGCGUUGUCCGGAUUUAUUGGGCGUAAAGGGAGCGCAGGCGGUGACUUAAGUCUGAUGUGAAAGCCCACGGCUCAACCGUGGAAGGUCAUUGGAAACUGGGUCACUUGAGUGCAGAAGAGGAAAGUGGAAUUCCAUGUGUAGCGGUGAAAUGCGUAGAUAUAUGGAGGAACACCAGUGGCGAAGGCGACUUUCUGGUCUGUAACUGACGCUGAGGCUCGAAAGCGUGGGGAGCAAACAGGAUUAGAUACCCUGGUAGUCC